UUGCUUGCAAGCCAGCAGCAGACUGAUUGAUUCCAAGAGUCAUUUUCGUCGCUCUGUCCCCCUCGCACCCUUACGGGACACCCCAUGAGUGCGAGAGAGAUGGAGCGACGUAAACGACUCUCGGGAUAAGUUUGCAGGGGCCGAGAUAAUGCGUAUCUCAGGAGCACACGCCCAGGGCAGCAAGGCAGCCCCGUCGUGUCGAUUAGUUUUGCAGCCACUCCUGGCAGCGGGGGCUGCACUGUGCGACCGAAUCCUCCGUCUGGCCUGGCCUAAGAUCCAGACGUCGAAGCUAGUCGAACGGCCCCUGUUGAUUGAUUCCGAGAGUCGUUUUCAUCUGUCUCUCUCACGCCUCAUGAGACGGAGAGAGACAGAGCGACGAAGACGACUCUCGGAAUCAGUCUGCUAUGGACUCCAAGCGGAUGGCGGCCACCGCUCCGACCCUGUCACGGGCCUCUGCCACGGCAGGCCACGGCCUCGCCCGAGGGGCCUUGGGGCCGCGGUGCGGCGAGCCCUGCAGUGCCCUGCAGCAGCCGCCCCAUCCCGCCCUGCGCCUGACUGGAAGUGUCGAGGCAGUACCAGUUCUGGCAUUUCUGGCCUGCCUUUUCGGCGGUUAUCGGCCCUCGACGCAGCGUUUAUUGCUCGUCAUGAAGAAGAGUCCUCGCGGUGCCGGCAAUGCGACGGCACAUCCCCGCCAUCUCAACCGCCAAGACCAAUUACUAUGGUAGUAGAAUGGAUCGGUUGAAUAGAAUAGUUCCCCUCUCUAGGUGGGGCAUGACGUUUUCGUGCGUGAGAGGGAUUGCGAUUGCCCUGGUGAUUGCGGAAGCUGCGCCUGUCUGGAGACUCGAUUGGUUCCGCAUGAAGGGCCAGACCAAGAAGCCCCACAACCGACACAGACUCAAAAUUCAACUUCUUGCUGGGCUCACCCACCCCCUAUUUGGCCAUUUUGGUUACCGCUACUCGGAGGGGUUCCUUAUCUCCCGUGAAGUCUGGUCCCUGUGUGAGGGUAGGGGACAAGUCCGUAAACCAUGCGCGUAUCAAUGAAAAACAGCGAAAUGAUAAACAACAAAGUGAUUAUGAAACGUACUGAACGCAUCUUAACACCAGCGUACUUUAACGUAUAUAGCAUCUCAACCUCAACACUAGCGACUUGUUUGACUAAAGCAAUCUCAACGCCCAAUGCAUAAUUCAUAAACGCAUAUCAAUACUUUUGCCAGAAAUGAGUGCAUCGGAAAGACGUCGAUUAUGCGUCAUGUCGACGCCGAAUCGACGCCUUUUCGAUCACCCAUUUCUUGCAGCAAACUCCAUCGAAUGUAUGAUAAACGUAUCUCAACACCAAUGAAUGUAUGAUCAACGCUCCACAAUGACAAAAUGUUUGAUUUACGAAACCUGAGCAGCAGCAACAUGAAUUAACUUGCCUAUUUACCUCUCCUAAACGAUUUUUAUUGUAUGAUGUUAAGUGUAUCGUGUCUAUCCAACUAUAAUUGUCCAUUAAGCGUAGGGUAGCUCCUCACCCGCCUGCCUUUGUAAUGGGCGUGUUCCCUCUGUAGGGAUUCCAAUUCCUAGAUCGUGAGCAUGAGAGCUACUCACACACUAAAUAACUAUGUAUUUUUCGGUGCAUAGCUUCGCACGGGAUUGAGCUUUCAUUUUAAAAUGCAUGAAUUCGUGCGCAGCUAAGCAUGGAGUUGUCCAUUUUCAUGCGGCAACUUUUGCGAUAUGGCGCACAAAUUUGUGCAUUCCACGCGUAUGCUCAAUUGUGUGCAAAAAAAAAAAAUAAUGCAAGUUUUGAAAUUCCUCAGCGGGGAUGAGCUUUGAAUUUAAAAAGGCUUGCGAGUGAAUUGCGAGCCCAAGUCUGUGUGAGGCGGUACGUUUUGUUGUGGAGCAUCGGUCGCUACUAACACCCUUGCGACGAACGCUGUGCGGCGCAACGCUCGCUGGUCUAGGCGUUAUCCUCAAUUCGAAUAUCAGCGGCCUCUAACGUCACGGCCCGGACGGUGUUGACCCGAGGGAUGAAUCACCAGUGUAUACACAUGUUGACACAUUGACCUGUGCUCACUCACACUUUUGGAACAGCAAAACUCACUCAUUUUUUGGCAAUGUUCAACGUUGUUUGCCUUCUUAAACGUUAAAGGAUGUCUAAAACGUUCAGAAAUAUGGAAUUUACGAUCAUUGAAGGUGUACUCACCUCUACUCGUGUACUUAGCGCACAGUGAUUCCCUCCUCGUGGCGCCCUCCCAUAGUAGCCCUCAUUGUCAUUUUCGUCUGUGUCACUUUUUCGGCGCACUUUUCGAUUUUGUAUUUGAUCCAUUUUCCGCGACUCUUUAUCCUAUUUCGGUGUAUUUUUUUUCGUUUUGGUUUAUGGUUUAUCAAUGCCCAUUGUAUUCACAGCCAGCAGAAUAAAUGUCAAUUGAACACAGCA